GACGUAGGGGGCCAGCGUUGCUCGGAAUUACUGGGUGUAAAGGGUUCGUAGGCGGUGUGGCAAGUCGGGGGUGAAAUCUCUGGGCUCAACCCAGAGUCUGCUUCCGAAACUGCUGUGCUUGAGUGUGGGAGAGGCGCGUGGAAUUGCAGGUGUAGCGGUGAAAUGCGUAGAUAUCUGCAGGAACACCCGUGGCGAAAGCGGCGCGCUGGACCACUACUGACGCUGAGGAACGAAAGCUAGGGGAGCAAAUGGG
rnacentral:rRNA from 1 species